rnacentral:rRNA from 1 species
GAUGAACGCUGGCGGCGUGCCUAACACAUGCAAGUCGAACGAGGUAUUUUGAUUGAAGUUUUCGGAUGGAUUUCAAGAUGCCGAGUGGCGGACGGGUGAGUAACGCGUGGGUAACCUGCCUCAUACAGGGGGAUAACGGUUAGAAAUGACUGCUAAUACCGCAUAAGCGCACAGUACCGCAUGGUACGGUGUGAAAAACUCCGGUGGUAUGAGAUGGACCCGCGUCUGAUUAGCUAGUUGGUGAGGUAACGGCCCACCAAGGCGACGAUCAGUAGCCGACCUGAGAGGGUGACCGGCCACAUUGGGACUGAGACACGGCCCAGACUCCUACGGGAGGCAGCAGUGGGGGAUAUUGCACAAUGGAGGAAACUCUGAUGCAGCGACGUCGCGUGAGUGAAGAAGUAUUUCGGUAUGUAAAGCUCUAUCAGCAGGGAAGAAAAUGACGGUACCUGACUAAGAAGCCCCGGCUAACUACGUGCCAGCAGCCGCGGUAAUACGUAGGGGGCAAGCGUUAUCCGGAUUUACUGGGUGUAAAGGGAGCGUAGACGGCGACGCAAGUCUGAAGUGAAAUACCCGGGCUCAACCUGGGAACUGCUUUGGAAACUGUGUUGCUAGAGUGCUGGAGAGGUAAGCGGAAUUCCUAGUGUAGCGGUGAAAUGCGUAGAUAUUAGGAAGAACACCAGUGGCGAAGGCGGCUUACUGGACAGUAACUGACGUUGAGGCU